GCCCCGGUAGCUUAGUGGUUAGAGCGUUCGCCUCAGAUGCGGAAGUUCGCGGGUUCCAACAUAGACUGAGUCAUGCCAAAGACU